rnacentral:misc_RNA from 1 species
UCAAACUUGGUCAUUUAGAGGAAGUAAAAGUCGUAACAAGGUUUCCGUAGGUGAACCUGCGGAAGGAUCAUUAUUGAUUUUCUUGGAGAAAAGUAAGCUUGAGUUGUGCUGGCCCCCCCUUUCUAUAUGGGGCAUGUGCAUGCUUUAAAGUCUUACUUUUUUCUUCUUGAAUUUUACACCAUGUGCACCUUUUGUAGGUCUUUUUGGGACCUAUGUUUUUAUUAUAUACCCCAAUGUAUGUUUAUAGAAUGUCUUAUCUUAUUUAUUGCACAGUUACCUUUUCUUUUAAAAGUGAUUGAGCAAGUAAGUUGUUUUACAACUUUCAGCAAUGGAUCUCUUGGCUCUCGCAUCGAUGAAGAACGCAGC